CCCUUUCCGAAAAGCUCCCCGCAAACCGAACCCUAGCUUCUCUCUCCUUCCAGCCGCCGCCCCUCCUUUCUCGCCCGCGCACGCCUCCCGGCUGAGGCUGUUCCUCGAGCAACGGAAGCCCACGCGGCCUCCGGCAGGGACGGCGGGCUCCCGGCGGAGGGGGACAUGGAGUGGAAAAGCCCGUUCCUCCCGGCGCUGUUGGAGAUCUGGGUGGGGGGAGCCGCCGUCCCCAGAGCCGGCCAACACCGCGGCCAUGGUGGUGACCGGCGCGCUCGCCUUGGUUCCUGCUGCUGCUGCAGCUUCUGCUCAUCUCCGCCACAAUCUUCGCCGCCACCGUCAAGUACUCCUUCAUAGCCGUGCUCCUGCUCUCAUCGCGCUCCUACGACCGGCUUCGUCGCCAGAAGAUGAAAAGGAAAAGCUCUCGAUCUCUAGGGAUCUCCGUAUUCGUGUGCGCCGCACCUUCUCUGUGCUGAUGUCUCAUCGGUACAGAGCCGGGGAGGGCCAUGCCGUCCUGAUGGGGUAGGGAGCACGCGGGCCUCGUCCCUCGCCUAUGUUCACUACCGGUGCCGUGAGAUAAGUGCCUCUUCCUCCCUAUGUAUCUGCUCCAUCUGGUUCACAACCUCCUCAUCCCACCCCUGUUCCAAACCCUAGGUCUAUGGUUUCCUAUCUUCGUCCCCCUAUCUGUAAGAUCAGUGAGCUCUCAUGUUCUCACCCCUGGCUUCCACUUUUGAGCUUAGUGCAUACUUUGCCAUGGCCUGAUAUCUGAAUUUUUUGCUGUGUUCGUAGAGGUGCUGCUCCGGCAAUGGUGCCCUUGACCUGUGAUCAGGAUAGGGUCGUAGAUAUGAACAGAUUUUACUUCUCCUGGUGCCGGCGGUGAGGAUUGUGAAUCUGUACCUUGUGCUUCGAUGGACAAUAAUUUGUUGGACCAAGUCAUUAUUGUACAUACCAUUAUCUUCAGAAGGUUUAGGCUGAAACUUUAAGCUACUGGAAUAUAAAUUUAGAGUGCAAUCUAAGCAUUCAGACACACGGUUAGAGUGAAACUGUGAACUGUUUGCUUCAAGGCAGCCAAUGAGUCCAAGCAAGGAUGGACAAGAAGGGGAUGGACUCAUUUUAGCUCUACCAGUUGGGGCCAGCCAUCAAACUCCCAUGUCAUCGCCUGCUGCUCGACAUUUGAUGUUGAAGAGCAGUUAUGUUAAUUAUCUAAAUAUCCUUUGGAGACCUCGUGGCUGCAAAAUGUGUGCUGUGCUUCUUCUGUUUAGUGACAUGAAACUGCUUGACAACCAUACUAUUUGGAUGGGUAUUCAAUGCUAUCAGUUAAAAUGUUUAUUAACUA